CGGGCGGGCCGGAUGACCGCCGGGCGCCGAAAAAAGGCGCCGGGAGGAAAGUCCGGGCUCCAUAGGGCGGGACGCUGGGUAACGCCCAGCGGGGGCAACCCCGGGCAAGCGCAACAGAGAGCAGACCGCCGCGAGAGAUCGCGGUAAGGGUGAAAGGGUGAGGUAAGAGCUCACCGGCCGGGCGGGCGACCGUCCGGGCCAGGCAAGCCCCGUCCGGAGCAAAACCAAAUAGGGCGGCGAUAAGGCGGCCCGCCUUGCCGCCGGGUAGGUUGCUGGAGCCGUGGAGCGAUUCACGGCCUAGAUGAAUGGUCAUCACCCCUUCGGGGGCACAGAACCCGGCUUACAGGCCCCCCGCCCC
rnacentral:RNase_P_RNA from 1 species